AGUGAACGCUGGCGGUAGGCCUAAUACAUGCAAGUCGAACGGCAGCACAGUAAGAGUUUGCUCUUACGGGUGGCGAGUGGCGGACGGGUGAGGAAUACAUCGGAAUCUACUUUUUCGUGGGGGAUAACGUAGGGAAACUUACGCUAAUACCGCAUACGACCUACGGGUGAAAGCAGGGGAUCUUCGGACCUUGCGCGUUUGAAUGAGCCGAUGUCGGAUUAGCUAGUUGGCGGGGUAAAGGCCCACCAAGGCGACGAUCCGUAGCUGGUCUGAGAGGAUGAUCAGCCACACUGGAACUGAGACACGGUCCAGACUCCUACGGGAGGCAGCAGUGGGGAAUAUUGGACAAUGGGCGCAAGCCUGAUCCAGCCAUACCGCGUGAGUGAAGAAGGCCUUCGGGUUGUAAAGCCCUUUUGUUGGGAAAGAAAAGCAGCAGGUUAAUACCCCGCUGUUCUGACGGUACCCAAAGAAUAAGCACCGGCUAACUUCGUG
rnacentral:rRNA from 1 species